GCAUGGCUGAAUACUGUGUUCUUUAGUCAAUAAUUUACACAGCCAGACACCAUGCAAGAGUAAAGUCUUCCUUUAAGAUGACCGAUAUGCUGUAGUUUAUGGUAUAUCACCAUCACAAGUGAGUACAAGU
ensembl:snoRNA LOC120103272 small nucleolar RNA SNORA15